AACUUUUGGCAACGGAUCUCUUGGUUCUGGCAUCGAUGAAGAACGCAGCGAAAUGCGAUAAGGAAUGUGAAUUGCAGAAUUCAGUGAAUCAUCGAAUCUUUGAACGCACAUUGCGCCCCCUGGUAUUCCGGGGGGCAUGCCUGUUCGAGCGUCAUUACAACCCUCAAGCUCUGCUUGGUAUUGGGCCCCGCCAGUUCUGGCGGGCCCUAAAGUCAGUGGCGGUGCCAUCCGGCUCCGAGCGUAGUAAUUCUUCUCGCUCUGGAGACCCGGUUGUGUGCUUGCCAGCAACCCCCAAUUUUUUAAGGUUGACCUCGGAUCAGGUAGGGAUACCCGCUGAACUUAAGCACAUCAAUAAGCGGAGGCU
rnacentral:misc_RNA from 1 species